GGGAGGGUAGUCACACGUGCCCCUUGUGAAAGAUGCUAUUAGCAUCCCGCACUUGGUCCACACCUCCUGAUACCAGGUCAGAGCUGAACCUAUAUAAAAUGUGGAAGCUUCUAACAGCACCUCAGUCCACCUGAAUCCUGGGUGAUCUCCAGUGCUUGAGCCAGCCUCAUUCAGUUCCUGCCAAGAUGUCCUGCCAGCAGAACCAGCAGCAGUGCCAGCCCCCUCCCAAGUGCCCCUCCAAAUGCCCUCCCAAGUGCCCCCCCAAAUGCCCCCCUAAGUGUCCAGCCCCUUGCCUACCUCCAGUUUCCUGCUGUGGCUCCAGCUCCGGGGGCGGGGGCUGCUGCAGCUCCGGGGGUGGGGGCUGCUGCCUGAGCCACCACAGGCCCCGCCGAUCUCUUCGACACCGACACCAGAGCUCUGACUGCUGUGGUGGUGGUGGUGGUGACCAUUCUGGAGGCUCCAGCUGCUGCUCUGGGGGCUGCUGCUGACCCCGGGCCCCAAGGAUCACUGAAGAACAGCACUGGAGGAGCCAAAGUGCCGAAGACCCACCCAGCCUGAGACUUCUCUUCCUCCAUUUGGAAGAACAGAAGGCAAGGAUGGAAGGGCUUCUGAAAUGUUCUGGGUUUCCCUCUUCGUCCCACCCAUGUCCAGUCCAUGGCUGUGAGGUCUUGAGGUUUAACCUCUAACGUUCACUAGCCUGAUUCCCUCUUGGACACAGAUCUUUGGGGGACUUGGUGUUGGAGUCCAGUUAUGAAGCUGCUUCCUCUGUACAAUAAAGCUUUUUAUUCCUGA